CCANGGCCGCGUGUGUGAAGAAGGCCCUCGGGUUGUAAAGCACUUUCAGCGAGGAAGAACGCCUAGUGGUUAAUACCCAUUAGGAAAGACAUCACUCGCAGAAGAAGCACCGGCUAACUCCGUGCCAGCAGCCGCGGUAAUACGGAGGGUGCAAGCGUUAAUCGGAAUUACUGGGCGUAAAGCGCGCGUAGGUGGCUUGAUAAGCCGGUUGUGAAAGCCCCGGGCUCAACCUGGGAACGGCAUCCGGAACUGUCAAGCUAGAGUGCAGGAGAGGAAGGUAGAAUUCCCGGUGUAGCGGUGAAAUGCGUAGAGAUCGGGAGGAAUACCAGUGGCGAAGGCGGCCUUCUGGACUGACACUGACACUGAGGUGCGAAAGCGUGGGUAGCAAACAGGAUUAGAUACCCUGGUAGUCCACGCCGUAAACGAUGUCGACCAGCCGUUGGGUGCCUAGCGCACUUUGUGGCGAAGUUAACGCGAUAAGUCGACCGCCUGGGGAGUACGGCCGCAAGGUUAAAACUCAAAUGAAUUGACGGGGGCCCGCACAAGCGGUGGAGCAUGUGGUUUAAUUCGAUGCAACGCGAAGAACCUUACCUACUCUUGACAUCCUGCGAACUUGUGAGAGAUCACUUGGUGCCUUCGGGAACGCAGAGACAGGUGCUGCAUGGCUGUCGUCAGCUCGUGUUGUGAAAUGUUGGGUUAAGUCCCGUAACGAGCGCAACCCUUGUCCUUAUUUGCCAGCGGGUAAUGCCGGGAACUCUAAGGAGACUGCCGGUGACAAACCGGAGGAAGGUGGGGACGACGUCAAGUCAUCAUGGCCCUUACGAGUAGGGCUACACACGUGCUACAAUGGCCGGUACAAAGGGUUGCGAGCUCGCGAGAGUCAGCUAAUCCCGAAAAGCCGGUCUCAGUCCGGAUCGGAGUCUGCAACUCGACUCCGUGAAGUCGGAAUCGCUAGUAAUCGUGAAUCAGAAUGUCACGGUGAAUACGUUCCCGGGCCUUGUACACACCGCCCGUCACACCAUGGGNANUGGACUGCACCNNAAGUGGUUAGCUUAACNUUCGGGAAAGCGAUCA
rnacentral:rRNA from 1 species